rnacentral:misc_RNA from 1 species
GUCAAUAGUGAUCGCUAAAAGAAAGGUAGUGUAAAUAGGCCAUGUCUCCUUAGAAUGGCAGCACAAUAUGUAACAGAUGAAACCGGGACUUACAUCCCAGCUACACAGAGGACAGAUGGAUCAUGGCGAAAGGCAAGGAGAGUAAAAGAAGGAUAUAUUCCGCAAGAUGAAGUCCCCCUUUAUGAAAGCAAAGGAAAACAGUGGGCCAAAAGUAAACCAGCCUUUCCUCCAGGUCUUCAUCCUGAAGAAGUAGCUAAGACACAACAAGCUCAAUCAGGUGCAAACCAAAUACCAGGACUGACAGGAACACCAACACCUAAUGUUUCAAAAUCAAGUAAAAAGAAGAAGAAGAAGAAGCAACAGCAAGAGGUUAAAACUAUUGACCAGAAUUUAACAGAAGAUGUUACCAAGCUUCACAUAUGUGAAACUGGUUUGGAUAGGAACAAUGAAUCUAGUGAGAAUAAAACCUGCCAAGAAACAUUCAGUGACCCAGCAAAGAGGAUUAAAAACUUAAAAAAAAAGUUAAGGGAGAUUGUAAAACUUGAGCAAAAAAUAGAGUCAGGUGAAAUUACUAACCCUGAAAAAGAUCAGUUAGAAAAAAUUGCUAGAAAAGGAGAGAUUGAAGCUGAAAUAGAAGAUCUGGAACUAGACCUAGAACUUCAAGACAGUUAACUGACUUAGCCAGUACAACACUGAAUAGAUACCAGAAAAUUGGAGAUAAAGAAACAGAAAAUCCAAUUUUUGACCACAUGCUAGUGACAAAGGAUUCACAA